rnacentral:lncRNA from 1 species
UUAAAACCCCGCAGGCUUUAUGCGAGAAUAUUAUCACUGAUUAAUGUCCGUAAGCUUUGUGCUCGUACUAUAUCCGAGCUCUAAAGACCCGAUGACUACGUGUGGGAAUUUUAUCCGGGUAAGACCCGAUAACUUCGUGUGGAGAUUAUGUCCGGGUAAGACUUCGUAAUAAGAAUUGCUUAUAAAUAUAUUCAAUGCGAAAGGUUAAACAGGUAUGUACUCCAAGUUUAUAUGUGAGCUUGAUUUGCACUAAAUCAUAAGGUAGUUAUGUGAUGCAUACGAGAGCAAUCUAUGAGACUAUUCCUAUGAUUAUGUGACAUCGGAUCAGUGUGAGAGGCGAUGUGAAAUCAUACGAUAUAUCUAUGUCACAUGAGCUCACUUUUAUGUGAAAGUUUAUCUGCCUAUUGUAUAUGAUGAGAUGUGCAUAUUCGGUAAAGGGAUG